rnacentral:misc_RNA from 1 species
AGAGAGAGAGAGAGAGGGAGUUGCCUAUUCGUAUGACACGUAUAAUUUCUUGUCUAUUGUGGCAAUUUUGUUGGAAUCCGUGAGGAUUUGGUUUUGUUCAUUUUGUCGCUUUGAUAUCACUCUAUCUUCACUGUAUCUCUAAAUAACCAUCAGCUUGAUUUCUCUGCUGUAGUUGGACAUGUUUCUUUGUUAUUAAUCUUACAAUUCAUAUGCUUUUAUUCUGUCAUUUUAUGUUGGUUGGUUUCUUUUCAGAUUAUGGGUAUGAUUAGUUGAGCGGCCCUCAUUGAUGCCUUCUUCCUACUUAGAAUUAGAUGUAAACCAGUUUUGGACACAGAACAUUUUGCAGAAUUAAAUAUCAAUCUUUUUGAUUUUUUUUGUAUACAUUUUAAUAUUCCUAUUGGGCGUUCCUUCCAUUUAUUGGGUUCCAACGAUUGGAUAUUUGUAGUUUUGUACUUUCUCCAGUUGCUUUCUCAUCUUCUUAUCACUUUAUCUUUUUGUUUCUGCUUGUGCUAUCAUAGUUGUUUCCUUCUUUGCUCUCCCUUUGCUGACCUGUUUGUUGUUUGUUUCACAGAUUUCAUCUAUGGUUCCUGUCUUUCUGUUCACCCCUUUGUCUUGUGUUUCUAUUAUGUAGUUUUUCUUUUCUCCCUGACUUUGUUAGUUGCCUGACUUU